CCGGGGGCGCGGUGGGUUGGACCACAGUUCUGCUCCCUGGUGGGUCUGGGUUCGAGUCCGCUUGGGGUGCCUUGCAACGGACUGGCGUCCAGUCUUGGGUGUGUCCCCUCCCCCUCUAGCCUUACGCCCUGUGUUGCCGGGUAGGCUCCGGUUCCCCCGCGACCCCGUAUGGGACAAGCGGUUCUGAAAAUAUGUGUGUGUGUGUGUGUGUACUAUAACUCCUACUAAUACAAGUGAAAACAGGAGAGAGAUGCUCUGGGCAUCAUGACAUGAGAGAGGAGAAGGUUUUUUCCGUCACUAGCUUACGUUUGCGAGCUAUGCCUAUUUUUACACGCGGAAAUUCAUUUUGCGGGUUCACCAGCGUAAACCAGAGACCGAAUAAGACACGACUGGUGUUCAGUUUUCUGAUGUGCCAGCAAGCUCGCUAAACUCUUGUAAAAAUUAGACAUGCAGCUUCUGCUCUCACUCCUGUGCUGCAUUCCUGUUAUGGGGGUAUUCUCAACAGUCAGCCAGUUCCCACCCUCUGUGGAAGUGAUGGAGGGGGCUUCCAUCACUUUGGAAUGUCGCUUUGACCUAGUCAUUCAGUACUGCUACACUGUCAACUGGAUGAAAUUACAGUUAAACACCAAUGUGCUGACCACCUACCAAAACAAAAAUAUGGAUGGUUCUAAGCCAUCACAGUUUAAAUGUCUGUUAUCAAUCAACCGUGCCACAGUAAGCGACUCUGGGGUUUACUACUGUUCAGUAGUGCGUGGCAAUAUGGUCUACCUUGGAAAUGGCUCCUCCGUGACAGUGAUUGGAAAUACAACCAAAACUCCAUCCAUUGAAGUUCUCAUGGCAUUUGAAAGCAGUUUGCAGUCCCCAGUCCUCCUGCUGUGCUUGGUCUCUGGGUUGAGUUCCUCCCAGGUCCAUGUGUCCUGGGAUAUUGGAGGGACGGCAGCAAAUGGAAGCUCCAAGUACAGCUGGAGGAACAACCCCUUGGAAAUGCUUUGGACCCAGAACUUGGUCUUGGUUUCUGCUGAGGAGUGGCAUCGUGGGUCUUUGUGUACCUGCGUGGUAGAGUAUGAAGGGCAGCGCUUCUUAAAGUCUGUUCAGAGUCAAGGAAGUGGGGUGCCAUGUCUGACCCUUACCUAUGUAGCAUCUGGCGGAGCUGCACUCGUACUUGUUGUGGCACUUUCUGUCCUCAUCUGCUUAAGCUGUGGGUGUCCAAAGGUUUUUAAAGUGAAGAAAAGAAUGGGUGCAGAGUGCAAAAAUCAGUCUUCAGGGCGGCUGGGAAGAGGAUCACAGACUGCAGCAAUAUAUGAUACAAUGGAAAUCCACUAUGCAACUUUAGAUGUGGUCAGCUUGGGAAGACGCAAGAAGACAUUGAUGGAGUUGUAAUCUUGUCAAACAUUUCAAACAACUCAU
rnacentral:lncRNA from 1 species